UACAGGGGGUGCAAACGUUGCUCGGAAUCAUUGGGCGUAAAGCGCACGUAGGCGGUCUGUUAUGUCGGAUGUGAAAGCCCUUGGCUUAACUGAGGAAGUGCAUCCGAAACUGGCAGGCUAGAGUACUAAAGAGGGUCGCGGAAUUCCCGGUGUAGAGGUGAAAUGCGUAGAGAUCGUAAGGAAGACCAGUGGCGAAGGCGGGUCUCUGGACAGUUCCUGACACUGAGGCACGAAGGCCAGGGGAGCAAACGGG
rnacentral:rRNA from 1 species